UCAUCAUGCCCCUUACUGACCUGGGCUACACACGUGCUACAAUGGGCGGUACAAAGGGUCGCGAACCCGCGAGGGGGAGCCAAUCCCAAAAAGCCGCUCUCAGUUCGGAUUGCAGGCUGCAACUCGCCUGCAUGAAGCCGGAAUCGCUAGUAAUCGCGGAUCAGCAUGCCGCGGUGAAUACGUUCCCGGGCCUU
rnacentral:rRNA from 1 species